UACGGAGGGUGCAAGCGUUGUCCGGAUUUAUUGGGCGUAAAGAGCGUGUAGGCGGCCACACAGGUCAGCUGUGAAAACUCGAGGCUCAACCUCGAGACGUCGGUUGAAACCGUAUGGCUAGAGUCCGGAAGAGGAGAGUGGAAUUCCCGGUGUAGCGGUGAAAUGCGCAGAUAUCGGGAAGAACACCCGUGGCGAAGGCGGCUCUCUGGGACGGUACUGACGCUGAGACGCGAAAGCGUGGGGAGCGAACAGG
rnacentral:rRNA from 1 species